UACGUAGGUGGCAAGCGUUGUCCGGAUUUACUGGGCGUAAAGGGCGUGCAGGCGGUUUGUUAAGUGCAGGGUGAAAGCUCCCGGCUCAACUGGGAGAGGUCCUUGCAUACUGGCGAACUCGAGGGAGGCAGAGGAAAGUGGAAUUCCCGGUGUAGUGGUGAUAUGCGUAGAUAUCGGGAGGAACACCUGUGGCGAAGGCGGCUUUCUGGGCCUUACCUGACGCUGAGACGCGAAAAGCGUGGGGGAGCGAACCGG
rnacentral:rRNA from 1 species